UUAUCUUAACUUUCUGCUAGUAAGACUCAUACCUAUUUGUCCUCAUUCAUGAUGCAAUGAAAAAAUUGGCAGAUAUGUUGGGACUAAUUCUUCUGUGUGCCUACAAAGUCUUUCUGAAGCUUUCUUGGAUAACCAACUUCUGUCUUGUUUUUUUCCUACUGUCUUCUCUGUCAAUCUCCUUCAUUGCUUUUAGUCCAGUUCAUCAUUCCGGUGCUGCACCCACUCACUGGCUGAAGCUUUUCUGCUCUCAGAGUCUUCCUAGCUCUUCCUGGCCAGUGAGGAUUCUGUCCUUCUCCUCCUAAAUCCUCUGUCUUCAUUUUACUUUAUAAUCUUAACUGAAUAUUUUUAUUAUUUUUUAAUGCUGUAUUUAAAUUUUCACAUGGAAAUUCUGUAUUUUGCACACAGUGAAAAUUGUUUUAGCUUUAUUUAUGAUAUCUGCUGUAAACAAAAAUAAAUGUAGUUCUUUAUAA